rnacentral:rRNA from 2 species
UGCAGUCGAACGAACUCUGGUAUUGAUUGGUGCUUCUCAUCAUGAUUUACAUUUGAGUGAGUGGCGAACUGGUGAGUAACACGUGGGAAACCUGCCCAGAAGCGGGGGAUAACACCUGGAAACAGAUGCUAAUACCGCAUAACAACUUGGACCGCAUGGUCCGAGCUUGAAAGAUGGCUUCGGCUAUCACUUUUGGAUGGUCCCGCGGCGUAUUAGCUAGAUGGUGGGGUAACGGCUCACCAUGGCAAUGAUACGUAGCCGACCUGAGAGGGUAAUCGGCCACAUUGGGACUGAGACACGGCCCAAACUCCUACGGGAGGCAGCAGUAGGGAAUCUUCCACAAUGGACGAAAGUCUGAUGGAGCAACGCCGCGUGAGUGAAGAAGGGUUUCGGCUCGUAAAACUCUGUUGUUAAAGAAGAACAUAUCUGAGAGUAACUGUUCAGGUAUUGACGGUAUUUAACCAGAAAGCCACGGCUAACUACGUGCCAGCAGCCGCGGUAAUACGUAGGUGGCAAGCGUUGUCCGGAUUUAUUGGGCGUAAAGCGAGCGCAGGCGGUUUUUUAAGUCUGAUGUGAAAGCCUUCGGCUCAACCGAAGAAGUGCAUCGGAAACUGGGAAACUUGAGUGCAGAAGAGGACAGUGGAACUCCAUGUGUAGCGGUGAAAUGCGUAGAUAUAUGGAAGAACACCAGUGGCGAAGGCGGCUGUCUGGUCUGUAACUGACGCUGAGGCUCGAAAGUAUGGGUAGCAAA